rnacentral:rRNA from 1 species
GAUGAACGCUGGCGGCGUGCCUAAUACAUGCAAGUCGAGCGAAUGGAUUAAGAGCUUGCUCUUAUGAAGUUAGCGGCGGACGGGUGAGUAACACGUGGGUAACCUGCCCAUAAGACUGGGAUAACUCCGGGAAACCGGGGCUAAUACCGGAUAACAUUUUGAACCGCAUGGUUCGAAAUUGAAAGUCGGCUUCGGCUGUCACUUAUGGAUGGACCCGCGUCGCAUUAGCUAGUUGGUGAGGUAACGGCUCACCAAGGCAACGAUGCGUAGCCGACCUGAGAGGGUGAUCGGCCACACUGGGACUGAGACACGGCCCAGACUCCUACGGGAGGCAGCAGUAGGGAAUCUUCCGCAAUGGACGAAAGUCUGACGGAGCAACGCCGCGUGAGUGAUGAAGGCUUUCGGGUCGUAAAACUCUGUUGUUAGGGAGGAACAAGUGCUAGUUGAAUAAGCUGGCACCUUGACGGUACCUAACCAGAAAGCCACGGCUAACUACGUGCCAGCCGCCGCGGUAA